rnacentral:lncRNA from 1 species
AGCUUGCCCUGCGUCUCUCGGAAGAGGGGACCCAGACCCUCUGGCUCUGCCAGUUCUACUUCCUCCACCAUUACCAACGACGGGGACAGCAGAUGCCCAGGGGCUCAACAGGCAGAAACAUAACCUUCUGGAGUGGGUGGAGUGGAAGAUGGAGUAUGGGAAUACAUUUUCCAAAAUUUAUCCCAUUAAUAGUUCCUGUUUGGAUUCCUCUAACAAGAAGCAAGCACACGUGAUCCGGAAGUAUCAAAGAGAAGAUAUGCAGGGGGAGGUCCCAUUCAGCAUUCAAGUCUGCACAGUUUACACUUAUUGGUGUAGAAACAUGGGACCAAUGGUCCAGCAUCAACCUUUUCUUCUGGAAACGACCUUUCUCUGCCCAUACUCUAAUAACUCUGGAUGAAGUCAGCAUAUUCUUACAACCCCACCCCUUGACCUCCAGUUGAAGAAGGUGAGUCAAAGAUGAGCACUUGAAAAGUAAGUUCAAUGAGUCCCUCCCACGGAUUUCUGGUCUUGUGACUAAAAGAGUUUGUCUCUCUCCACCAACUGAACCUGCAAUAUACAGAACACAGGAGUUAUGCUUGCCAUGUUGUAGGAAAAGGUAUCCUACAGGCAGAGGGUAGGGAAUCUAGCACAGACAGUGGAAAUAAGAGACACACUCAAAACACUCAAUUAGCGAGCCCCAGUUGGCCCUAAGGCUCAGGUGCACACAUCUCUUUAGCAGA